rnacentral:lncRNA from 1 species
UGUUGAAUCAUUGCUUAUGAGAACAAACGCAUGUGUUGGUCCAAAGUAUAUGACAUAUUGUAUACAAUAACACCUAUUUGCAUUAGAUAAAAAAUUAUGAUUAAUUCUUUCCUCUCAAUUGGUUCAAGGUCAGGAAUCAAUUAUUUCAUGUAGUAGUUUUGAUGUUUGGUAUUUUAUAAAUGGAUAUACCAUGAUACACAAAGAUGGAUUCUCUAAAGUAAAUUGAGAAGUAUGUUAGUUUUCUUCACACGAGG